rnacentral:misc_RNA from 1 species
AUUUCCAGUUCGGUGGUAUCACGUCCUGGCUAGCUGCCAUUAGCGUGAAUUUCCGGUUUGGUGUGAUAAAGAUCACCACUCUGGCUAGCUGCUAUCGAAAAACGUAGCUUUCUUCUGCCUAUAACCCCGUCGCGCACUGGUGCGACAACCUUUAAUGAACCUUUGACCUCAAAUCAGGUAGGACUACCCGCUGAACUUAA